AAGUAGAAUUAGGUUAUAAAGACCGCCCUUUGCCGCCACCUCUCCCAAUCUCAGAUCAAAAAGAGAGGGGAAAACUCUUUUGGUUCGCCUAUGGCGGCAUCGUCGUCUUCGGAUACUUCUUAUUGUUCCACGGAUUCCUUGUCCGAUUCGUCUUCCUCACGGGCCAAAAAAACGCCGUCAUCGCAGUUACCGACGCGAAAGAGACAGAGAUUCUCUCAAAAUCCGAAAGAAGAGCCGUUCGAUUGGUAAACGGCGCCGUAGGAAGCAUCGCCGCCACUCUUCCGAUUCUUACUCUUCGUCUGACUCCGAUUCCUCCAGGGGUAACAAUUCGUCGGAUAGUGAGCAUGAGUCCAGCCAUUCAAAGAGGCACAAGAAAAGUGACAGGCAAAAGAAGUCAAAGGAAAAGAGAGGAGCAAGAGUCAUCGACAUAAACGUCAAAAGCACAAACUGAAAGAGCUGUGGCAUGUGACAUGAUAACUGGGUGCAAUUGACUUGGAUUGUUUUUCUGGGUCGUGUUUGUCCUGGCAAUCGGAGCUACAUAUAGAAACAGAAAGAUGAUAGAAGUAGCAGUCCUGUGCAGCUUUCUAAGUUUCUUGGGCGUAACAAGGAUGAUGGUGCACCGCGUAGUGCUGUGUCUGGCAAAAAGAUUCUCUUGAAACUUGACAAGUCAAAGGAAGACAAAGAGGCCGAGAG